rnacentral:rRNA from 1 species
AGUGAACGCUGGCGGUAGGCCUAACACAUGCAAGUCGAACGGCAGCAUAGUAAGAGCUUGCUCUUACGGGUGGCGAGUGGCGGACGGGUGAGGAAUACAUCGGAAUCUACUUUUUCGUGGGGGAUAACGUAGGGAAACUUACGCUAAUACCGCAUACGACCUACGGGUGAAAGCAGGGGAUCUUCGGACCUUGCGCGAUUGAAUGAGCCGAUGUCGGAUUAGCUAGUUGGCGGGGUAAAGGCCCACCAAGGCGACGAUCCGUAGCUGGUCUGAGAGGACGAUCAGCCACACUGGAACUGAGACACGGUCCAGACUCCUACGGGAGGCAGCAGUGGGGAAUAUUGGACAAUGGGCGCAAGCCUGAUCCAGCCAUACCGCGUGGGUGAAGAAGGCCUUCGGGUUGUAAAGCCCUUUUGUUGGGAAAGAAAAGCAGCAGGUUAAUACCCCGCUGUUCUGACGGUACCCAAAGAAUAAGCACCGGCUAACUUCGU